rnacentral:sRNA from 1 species
GAUACCAGGGUCAGAUGGUUACGUGUUUUAUGCUUGCAUGAAAAAGCAUGACUUUGGGACCCGUAAAACAUAAGAAAGUAGCCCGAAUAGGGCGGAUUUGGAAUGUUUUUAGGAUUGCGGGAGCAUGAAAUGCGGAGCAAUCCGU